CAGUCCGUUCACCCCUGUAAAACCAAUAUACUCACUCUCUCAAACCAUCGAAGUCUGCUUUCGACUGUUUGCAAUAGAGAAAAACCUUCUCCAAAAUGUUCAGGACCUCAGACUGGUCUCAAAAUUCACUAUCCAACAAGACAAUGACCCUAGGCAUACAACUAAAACAAUGAAGAAGUGGGUUCCAAAGAACUCUGUGACUGUUCUUGAACGGCCGAGCCAGAGCCCUGACUUAAAUACAAAUCAGCAACUUUGGAGGGACCUGAAAAUCCCUGUCCACCAAUGUUCACUCAGGAGGAAUGGCAGAGGAUCGCCCAAUCCAGAUUCCCUCCAGAUCAACCAGAACCCUGCGGGUCACUUCAAAGCCAGACACCACCUGGGAGAAAGGAACAAAGUAAAAAUAACAUUGCAGUGCUUUAACUGCAUGAAAUGACUCAGACGUCCUCAUUCAAGGCUUGCAAUGAGCAGAAGAUGCAGUUGCCCUGGCGGGCACACAUAAAGUGGUAGUUAUGGGUGCAGGAGGUGAAGCAGCAACCGACUGUGGCUCCUGGCUGUUGACAUAUCUCACAGCACUAUGAAGAAGGACAUGAGAAAUUAGCACAAACAGCUUUGAGAGAGCUAUGGCAUAAUUGUACACUCGGGCCACUUUACAAACUCUAGGUCUGCAGGGGAGUUUCGAGGAGUUGCAGGAGAGGCUUCGGUUAGGACUGGAGGGUCAGGGCCCUCGGGGGAGCGACGAGAUGGAAGACUCUCUUCAGUCUCAGGGUUGAGCUCGGGAGGUUUAACCGCCUACCCCAAAAGACGUAGUAGGUGAGCUGUGGUGCGCGAGUUGAGCAGUGCAGUGAGGAUGUGGCGAAUGCGGGCCUGGAGCUCCCCUUCCAGUGCCGUCCGCCACUCAGCCGGUUGGCAAUCUGUACAUUUGGUACACGUGUAGGCA